rnacentral:rRNA from 1 species
GAUGAACGCUGGCGGCGUGCCUAAUACAUGCAAGUCGAGCGAACGGACGAGAAGCUUGCUUUUCUGAUGUUAGCGGCGGACGGGUGAGUAACACGUGGAUAACCUACCUAUAAGACUGGGAUAACUUCGGGAAACCGGAGCUAAUACCGGAUAAUAUUUUGAACCGCAUGGUUCAAAAGUGAAAGACGGUCUUGCUGUCACUUAUAGAUGGAUCCGCGCUGCAUUAGCUAGUUGGUAAGGUAACGGCUUACCAAGGCAACGAUGCAUAGCCGACCUGAGAGGGUGAUCGGCCACACUGGAACUGAGACACGGUCCAGACUCCUACGGGAGGCAGCAGUAGGGAAUCUUCCGCAAUGGGCGAAAGCCUGACGGAGCAACGCCGCGUGAGUGAUGAAGGUCGUCGGAUCGUAAAACUCUGUUAUUAGGGAAGAACAUAUGUGUAAGUAACUGUGCACAUCUUGACGGUACCUAAUCAGAAAGCCACGGCUAACUACGUGC